rnacentral:rRNA from 1 species
GAUGAACGCUGGCGGCGUGCCUAAUACAUGCAAGUCGAGCGAACAGACGAGGAGCUUGCUCCUCUGACGUUAGCGGCGGACGGGUGAGUAACACGUGGAUAACCUACCUAUAAGACUGGGAUAACUUCGGGAAACCGGAGCUAAUACCGGAUAAUAUAUUGAACCGCAUGGUUCAAUAGUGAAAGACGGUUUUGCUGUCACUUAUAGAUGGAUCCGCGCCGCAUUAGCUAGUUGGUAAGGUAACGGCUUACCAAGGCAACGAUGCGUAGCCGACCUGAGAGGGUGAUCGGCCACACUGGAACUGAGACACGGUCCAGACUCCUACGGGAGGCAGCAGUAGGGAAUCUUCCGCAAUGGGCGAAAGCCUGACGGAGCAACGCCGCGUGAGUGAUGAAGGUCUUCGGAUCGUAAAACUCUGUUAUUAGGGAAGAACAAAUGUGUAAGUAACUAUGCACGUCUUGACGGUACCUAAUCAGAAAGACACGGCUAACUACGUG